UCUGUCUCCUCGCCUAGCAUUAGCCUUACUCACAAUCUCAAUCAAUCCUCUCAUCUUUAAGCCUUUCUGAAAUGGUUAGAAAGGAAUAGCAAGGGUGAGCAACAACGCUCAGCAAGUAGUAAUAAACAAUGAAAAUUCUGAAAUGAUAUAACAAAAGUUCACGAGUUCAAGAUAUAAAAGGAUUCAACCUGAGUUCACAAGUUUAGGUAUUGUAUAAGAAAAUCACAAUACCUUGAAGCAAUUGAAUACUGAGGAAUUCAAUCUUUCCAAAAGAAUUAUUGAAUUGGACUAUCACAUUUUAAUUAAAAACCAAGGUUAGGCAGCUGAUCAGUUCCGCACUAACCCCGAGCAGGCCCCGCCAUGCUCUAUCACUGGAUCCAAGGCACUCAUUGGCCUAACAUGACCACGAAUCUGGUCCACAGGUUUAUAUAAAAACAAUAAUCCAAUUCUCUAAUUCAAUUCAAGAAGCCAAUGUAAAUUAACAGAACAUCGUCAUAAAUAUCAUCAACAACAGAAUAAUUCCGAUUCAAACUCUGAUAAUAAUCUAUUCAUAAAUCAUGAUUCUUCGUUUCAUAAAUCACAGUUCAGGAAAUCCUCAACUAUUCAGUAUCCUCCAUUAUCGGCUAAGCAACUGAAUUUAGCCUGCUAACCAGCAUGACAAUGGCGGUUUGAAUAAUCAAGAAGAUCCCAACUCAUUCAAAGCUCUAACUAUCACUGAGCAACACAUGCUUCAAUGACAAUCUGAACUUCGAAUUAAUUUGUAAAACUAGAAUUAUCUGAAUUUUUGAGGAUUAGAAAAGGAUGGAUAAAAUAUUUACACUUUC
rnacentral:lncRNA from 1 species